rnacentral:rRNA from 1 species
CGCAAUGGGCGAAAGCCUGACGGAGCAACGCCGCGUGAGGGACGAAGGCCUCUGGGCUGUAAACCUCUUUUCUCAAGGGAGAAGAUAUGACGGUACUUGAGGAAUAAGCCACGGCUAAUUCCGUGCCAGCAGCCGCGGUAAUACGGGAGUGGCAAGCGUUAUCCGGAAUUAUUGGGCGUAAAGCGUAUGUAGGCGGAUCAAAAAGUUAGAUGUGAAAUCCCUGGGCUCAACCCAGGAACUGCAUUUAAAACUAGUGAUCUAGAAUUUGGUAAGGGUUAGUAGAAUUUCCAGUGUAGAGGUGAAAUUCGUAGAUAUUGGAAAGAAUACCAGAAGCGAAGGCGACUAACUAGGCCAUUUUUGACGCUGAGAUACGAAAGCGUGGGUAGCAAACAGGAUUAGAUACCCUGGUAGUCCACGCAGU